GACGAACGCUGGCGGCGUGCUUAACACAUGCAAGUCGAACGGAAAGGCCCUGCUUUUGUGGGGUGCUCGAGUGGCGAACGGGUGAGUAACACGUGAGUAACCUGCCCUUGACUUUGGGAUAACUUCGGGAAACUGGGGCUAAUACCGGAUAGGAGCUCCUGCUGCAUGGUGGGGGUUGGAAAGUUUCGGCGGUUGGGGAUGGACUCGCGGCUUAUCAGCUUGUUGGUGGGGUAGUGGCUUACCAAGGCUUUGACGGGUAGCCGGCCUGAGAGGGUGACCGGCCACAUUGGGACUGAGAUACGGCCCAGACUCCUACGGGAGACAGCAGUGGGGAAUAUUGCACAAUGGGCGGAAGCCUGAUGCAGCAACGCCGCGUGCGGGAUGACGGCCUUCGGGUUGUAAACCGCUUUCGCCUGUGACGAAGCGUGAGUGACGGUAAUGGGUAAAGAAGCACCGGCUAACUACGUG
rnacentral:rRNA from 1 species